AGCCGGGGCUUAUUCUGCGGGUACCGUCAUCMUCGUCCCCGCCAAAAGAGCUUUACAACCCGAAGGCCUUCUUCACUCACGCGGCAUGGCUGGAUCAGGGUUGCCCCCAUUGUCCAAUAUUCCCCACUGCUGCCUCCCGUAGGAGUCUGGGCCGUGUCUCAGUCCCAGUGUGGCUGAUCAUCCUCUCAGACCAGCUAAGGAUCGUCGCCUUGGUGAGCCGUUACCUCACCAACUAGCUAAUCCUACGCGGGCCCAUCCGAUGGCGAUAAAUCUUUCCCCCGAGGGGCGUAUCCGGUAUUAGCCGCAGUUUCCCACGGUUAUCCCAAACCACCGGGCAGGUGCCCACGCGUUACUCACCCGUGCGCCACUCCCGUAUUGCUACGAGCGUUCGACUUGCAUGUGUUAGGCCUGCCGCCAGCGUUCGUUCUGAGCCAUGAUCAAACUCUAAUCGAAUUCCCGCGGCCGCCAUGGCGGCCGGGAGCAUGCGACGUCGGGCCCAAUUCGCCCUAUAGUGAGUCGUAUUACAAUUCAYGGC
rnacentral:rRNA from 1 species